rnacentral:rRNA from 1 species
CCGUAACGAUGAUGCUAAGGUUAGAGGUUCCGCCUUAGUGCUGCAGCAACGCAUAGCAUCGCUGGGAGUACGUGCAGACUGAAUCCAAAGGAAUGACGGGGGCCCGCACAAGCGUGAGCAUGUGGUUAAUUCGAAGCAACGCGAAGACCUUACCAGGUCUGACAUCCUCUGACAACCCUAGAGAUAGGGCUUCCCCUUCGGGGGCAGAGUGACAGGUGGUGCAUGGUUUCGUCAGCUCGUGUCGUGAGAUGUUGGGUUAAGUCCCGCAACGAGCGCAACCCUUGAUCUUAGUUGCCAGCAUUCAGUUGGGCACUCUAAGGUGACUGCCGGUGACAAACCGGAGGAAGGUGGGGAUGACGUCAAAUCAUCAUGCCCCUUAUGACCUGGGCUACACACGUGUUACAAUGGGCAGAACAAAGGGCAGGGAAGCCGCGAGGUUAAGCCAAUCCCACAAAUCUGUUUUCAGUUCGGAUCGCAGUCUGCAAUUGGACUGCGUGAAGCUGGAAUCGUUAGUAAUCGCGGAUCAGCAUGCCGCGGUGAAUACGUUCCCGGGCCUUGUACACACCGCCCGUCACACCACGAGAGUUUGUAACACCCGAAGUCGGUGAGGUAACCUUUAGGAGCCAGCCGCCGAAGGUGGGACAGAUGAUUGGGGGAAGUCGUAACAAGGUAGAGGAUCGAAUGAU